rnacentral:rRNA from 1 species
AUUGAACGCUGGCGGCAUGCCUUACACAUGCAAGUCGAACGGUAGAGGGGGCAACCCCUUGAGAGUGGCGAACGGGUGAGUAAUGCAUCGGAACGUGCCCAGUAGUGGGGGAUAGCCCGGCGAAAGCCGGAUUAAUACCGCAUACGACCUAUGGGUGAAAGCGGGGGACCUUCGGGCCUCGCACUAUUGGAGCGGCCGAUGUCAGAUUAGCUAGUUGGUGGGGUAAAGGCUCACCAAGGCGACGAUCUGUAGCUGGUCUGAGAGGACGACCAGCCACACUGGGACUGAGACACGGCCCAGACUCCUACGGGAGGCAGCAGUGGGGAAUUUUGGACAAUGGACGAAAGUCUGAUCCAGCAAUGCCGCGUGCGGGAAGAAGGCCUUCGGGUUGUAAACCGCUUUCGGUAGGGACGAAAGCUCUCGACCUAACACGUCGGGAGGUUGACUUAACCUACAAAAGAAGCACCGGCUAACUCUGUGCCAGCCGCCGCAGUAAAAC